rnacentral:rRNA from 1 species
GACGAACGCUGGCGGCGUGCUUAACACAUGCAAGUCGAACGGAAAGGCCCUGCUUUUGUGGGGUGCUCGAGUGGCGAACGGGUGAGUAACACGUGAGUAACCUGCCCUUGACUUUGGGAUAACUUCAGGAAACUGGGGCUAAUACCGGAUAGGAGCUCCUGCUGCAUGGUGGGGGUUGGAAAGUUUCGGCGGUUGGGGAUGGACUCGCGGCUUAUCAGCUUGUUGGUGGGGUAGUGGCUUACCAAGGCUUUGACGGGUAGCCGGCCUGAGAGGGUGACCGGCCACAUUGGGACUGAGAUACGGCCCAGACUCCUACGGGAGGCAGCAGUGGGGAAUAUUGCACAAUGGGCGGAAGCCUGAUGCAGCAACGCCGCGUGCGGGAUGACGGCCUUCGGGUGGUAAACCGCUUUCGCCUGUGACGAAGCGUGAGUGACGGUAAUGGGGAAAGAAGCACCGGCGAACUACGG